UGGCGGACGGGUGAGUAACGCGUAGGUAUCUAUCCUUGGGUGGGGGACAACUGUGGGAAACUACAGCUAAUACCGCAUGACGACCGAGGUCCAAAGCUCGCGAGAGCGCCUGGGGAGGAGCCUGCGUACGAUUAGCUAGUUGGUGGGGUAAAGGCCUACCAAGGCGACGAUCGUUAGCUGGUCUGAGAGGAUGAUCAGCCACAUUGGGACUGAGACACGGCCCAA
rnacentral:rRNA from 1 species